rnacentral:misc_RNA from 1 species
UCUCCGUAGGUGAACCUGCGGAGGGAUCAUUACCGAGUGAGGGCUCACGCCCGACCUCCAACCCUUUGUAAUCCAUACCAUGUUGCCUCGGGGGCGACCCGGCCCUGUUGGGUGUCGGGGCCCCCGGCGGCGCACACCCAACCCUGCAUCGUUGCGUCCGAGUACAGAUUUGAAUCAAUCAAAACUUUCAACAACGGAUCUCUUGGUUCUGGCAUCGAUGAAGAACGCAGC